UACGUAGGGUGCGAGCGUUGUCCGGAAUUACUGGGCGUAAAGAGCUCGUAGGUGGUUUGUCGCGUUGUUCGUGAAAACUCACAACUCAAUUGUGGGCGUGCGGGCGAUACGGGCAGACUGGAGUACUGCAGGGGAGACUGGAAUUCCUGGUGUAGCGGUGGAAUGCGCAGAUAUCAGGAGGAACACCGGUGGCGAAGGCGGCAAACUGGAUAGGCACUGACACUCAACAACGAAAGCGUGGGGAGCAAACAGG
rnacentral:rRNA from 1 species